rnacentral:tRNA from 1 species
CAGGGAGACAACAAAAUGUAAAUAUUAAUUUUGUCACCUUAGGUCGAUCGGUAUCUCAGAUUCUUAUUUUAUAAGAAUUUCAGUUCCUAAGUUUUUUCUAGGUCACACCCAUCACUUUUUCCUGGGCCAUUAGCUCAGGUGGUUAGAGCGCACCCCUGAUAAGGGUGAGGUCCCUGGUUCAAGUCCAGGAUGGCCCAUAUCUCUAUGUUGGGGGUAUAGCUCAGUUGGUAGAGCGCCUGCUUUGCAAGCAGGAUGUCACCGGUUCGAGUCCGCUUACCUCCACUGAAUACCACCUCUUGCAUAAAUUUAAAGAGGAAAAUUGUUGUGAGUCGUGUCCUAAUUUGCUCUGAGCGAAUCUAGCUUCCUAUUUUAUUCAAUAAAUAAGAUGCUGGACUCAUUGAAAUUUUUUUCAUUGUUUUCAGAGAACCUUGACAACUGCAUAGAUUAUUUUUGAAGACAAUAAGCAUCUUUAAUGAUGCAGAUUUAUUAUUUGUGCGAAUGCAUUAAAUAACAAUUCUAUUAAGCUGAUGCUUCAAUUAUUGAAGUUAUU